GUGCUCGCUUUGGCAGCACAUAUACUAAAAUUGGAACGAUACAGAGAAAAUUAGCAUGGCCCCUGCGCAAGAAUGACACGCAAAUUUGUGAAGCAUUCCAUAUUUUG
rnacentral:snRNA from 1 species